rnacentral:rRNA from 1 species
AACGAACGCUGGCGGCAGACUUAACACAUGCAAGUCGAACGCAUCCUUCGGGGUGAGUGGCAGACGGGUGAGUAACGCGUGGGAACGUGCCCUUCAGUUCGGAAUAACCCAGGGAAACUUGGGCUAAUACCGGAUACGUGCGAGAGCAGAAAGAUUUAUCGCUGAAGGAUCGGCCCGCGUCUGAUUAGCUAGUUGGUGGGGUAAUGGCCCACCAAGGCGACGAUCAGUAGCUGGUCUGAGAGGAUGAUCAGCCACAUUGGGACUAAGACACGGCCCAAACUCCUACGGAAGGCAGCAGUGGGGAAUAUUGGACAAUGGGCGCAAGCCUGAUCCAGCCAUGCCGCGUGAGUGAUGAAGGCCUUAGGGUUGUAAAGCUCUUUCGUCCGGGACGAUAAUGACGGUACCGGAAGAAGAAGCCCCGGCUAACUUCGUGCCAGCCGCCGCCGUAA